rnacentral:lncRNA from 1 species
GAAAAAUCCCUGAAACUGGCACUCUCAGCAAAGGGAGCAUCUCAAGGACCUUGGGCUGAGUCCUAUUCAUCGGGGAGAGCAGACUCCUGGGAUGCACGUUCUUCACUUGUCCUGUGAUUAACUGUUGGUCUUCCAAAGAAUGAGCCAGAUGGUUCCCAUGAGAAGUGAUCAGCUCUCCUGGAGUCUAUGAACCAGAAAAAGACAGAGUCUGGGUGCCUCUUGCCAGGACCUGUCUGAAGCUGAGGUGAUGAGUGCAGGUACACUGGGAGCUGGUGCCUGGGGGAUUCCCUCCACCUCAGCUCAUCAGCCCCACAAACUGAAGGGACAGCUUCUCCCAGCUUAAGGGCAUCACAGAGCAUAAGGUCAGCCCUGCUGAUUGGAUUCGGACCUCGGCAGUGCUUUGCUCCUGUGCAAAUUCCUUUUAGCAUCUCAUUCUGCAGACAGCGCAUCUGAUCGGUGCUCUCCACCUCAAUUUGAAGGAUGCACGUCUCCUUCGAGGAUACACACGGAGUCUCUCUGGAGCACAGCUCUGAGCUGUAGCUCAGGGAAAGGGAACGAGAUCUGCUGUGCUGACUCAGCCUCGGCUGCACAGGAAUAAACAGUCGGAAAGGAACCAUUAACUCAAUAAGACUGAAACAUAUGUGACAAUGCAUAUGUCAGCCACUCAUC